AUUGAAAAAUACUUCAAAAAGGUAUAUUUUGGUGCGGAACAUAAUUAUAUAUAGUUUCGAAGGGUUAAUGAUCGAGGAAUCGCAACAAAUUCAUGGCUAUGAAUUGAUACCAGUUCCUGUUAUGAAUAUAUAUUGGAAAACAUUUCAUUCUGCGCAUGGAAUAUACAUUGGAACACUUAACAGUCCAGAAAUGAAAUAGGAAGAGUUAGCACGUUCGUGGUUCUGUGAUUGACACAGCAAGAGAGGGUACAGGUGGAUCCACUUUCGUGGCUUAGAUGGAGUGAAGAAUAAAAAGUGCAGCAUAUCGAAAUUUUCCUUGCAUUGGAACCAUGGCCGUGUCUACAUUAUCAGAAGCAACUAGAAAGAAACUUCGAAAAUAUGUUAUUGUGGAAAAACGCACUAAACCAGACCAACAACCAGAUGUCUUACCAUUUGUAAUCUAGGAAAAAAAAUUACUAUAAAUGCAGGAAGCUAGAUCUAGUUGACUUGAACAGACUGAAUCCGAAAAAAGAUGUAUAUUUUUAAUUUUUCAGUUCAUCAAACUUUUUGUUCAAUUAUUUUGUUAUUCGUAAUUUAUUACUUUAGAUCAUGUCAAUUCGAUCGUUCUUUAAACCGAUAAUUGUGAAAGAAACUUUGUUAUCUCCAUCAGCGAUAGUUAGAAAUGAUUAGGAGUCUUCGGGCAUCGUAAAUAAAACUGCAAAAAAUAAUUCUGUAAAUAGUUUUGUUACCACAUCAAAGUCACAUGCACAUGCAUCAAUAUAUCGUCCUCCAGAAAAUUAUAUUUUUCCGAAAACGUUAAUCGGGAACCGUGAAAGGCAAUGUCAAUCACAUUGGUUUAAAACCUUCCCAUGGCUUCACUACAACAUUGAAAAAAAAUCUGCGUAUUCUGCCAUUACUGUGGUCUACAUGAAGAUAAACUUUUUGCAGUACAUAACAAGGAUCCAGCAUAUAUUUCAAAUGGUUUUAGAAAUUGGAAGAGAGCACCUAAGUGCUUCAAAAACCACGAGGAUUCAAAAUGUCACAAAGCAGCGCUAACACAUCAAGUGACAGUUCCCACAUGUGGCGAUGUUGCUGAAUUGAUGAAUAAAGAUGUUUUAGAAAAAAGAUUCCAGGAGCAUCAAUAUUUGAAAGUAGUAAUGAAAUGUUUGCAGUUUUUAGCACGCUAGGGAAUUGCAUUUCGUGGUAACGAAGACGGCAACGAAAAUUUAACUCAGUUGUUAAUAUUAAGAGGCAAAGAUAAUCCGGACGUUAUUCAAAGGCUGAAGUCGAAGGAUAGAAGUAAGAAGUUGUACACACAUCAUGAUUACCAAGAUGAACAUCUGCAAAUUAUAGCUAACCAAGUUAUACGUAGAAAAAUUGUUAAAGUGCAAAACAGUCAUUUUUAUUUGAUUAUGUGUGAUGAGUACACUGACAUUUCUAACAAAGAGCAACUUUCAUUUUUUGUUUUAUGGGUGGAUAAAGUUUUAGAAGCACACAAGACUUUCUAGGAUACUACCAAAUCCCUGAUUUAAAGAGCGAUACUAGUCACUACUAUUAAAGAUGCGCUCACAAGAUUCAGUUUGCCUCUAUCUGACCUGAGAGGUCAAACGUAUGAUGGCGCAAGUAGUAUGACGGGAAAAACACAAAUUAAGAAAGAUCAACCUAAAGCACUAGAAACGCAUUGUCAUGGUCAUACAUUGAGUUUGCCGGUUAAAGAUAUGAACAAACAAAAUAAAUUGUUAAAUGACGCCAUUGGUACAGUCGGCAAGAUAACAGUAUUGGUGAAGUUUUCUCCGAAAUGGGAGCAAUUGUUAGGAUCAAUUCAAAGUAAUCUUGAACGCGAAGAUGAAUAUGAAAUUUUGGAAGAAGCUACCAGUCUCUUCAAACUUUGUGUGACCAGGUGGACAGUUAGAGCAACGACAUACUUUGAAGAAGAAAAUAAGAAAGAAUGAAAAUUACAAAGUGCACGCACAAUGAUAAACUCGACCAGUUAAGUCUUAAAAUUUAAAUUCUAGAGGUUUUGCUCCUCUAAAGAAUAUGCUCAUAUAAAGGAACACAAUUCUUCCUUUUUCCAAGGAGGUAAUUGGGACAAAAAUUAAACAAACAAACAGACAGAGAGAGUAGGACAGGACUUCUGU